AGAGUUUGAUCAUGGCUCAGAUUGAACGCUGGCGGCAUGCUUUACACAUGCAAGUCGAACGGCAGCGGGGGCUUCGGCCUGCCGGCGAGUGGCGAACGGGUGAGUAAUACAUCGGAACGUGUCCUUAAGUGGGGAAUAACGCAUCGAAAGAUGUGCUAAUACCGCAUAUCUCUCAGGAGGAAAGCAGGGGAUCGAAAGACCUUGCGCUAAAGGAGCGGCUGAUGUCUGAUUAGCUAGUUGGUGGGGUAAAGGCUUACCAAGGCAACGAUCAGUAGCUGGUCUGAGAGGACGACCAGCCACACUGGGACUGAGACACGGCCCAGACUCCUACGGGAGGCAGCAGUGGGGAAUUUUGGACAAUGGGCGAAAGCCUGAUCCAGCCAUGCCGCGUGAGUGAAGAAGGCCUUCGGGUUGUAAAGCUCUUUUAGUCGGAAAGAAAGAGUCAUAGUAAAUAGCUAUGAUUUAUGACGGUACCGACAGAAAAAGCACCGGCUAACUACGUUGCCAGCAGCCGCGGUAAUACGUAGGGUGCGAGCGUUAAUCGGAAUUACUGGGCGUAAAGGGUGCGCAGGCGGCCUUGUAAGUCAUAUGUGAAAGCCCCGGGCUUAACCUGGGAAUUGCGUUUGAAACUACAAAGCUAGAGUGCAGCAGAGGGGAGUGGAAUUCCAUGUGUAGCAGUGAAAUGCGUAUAGAUGUGGAAGAACACCGAUGGCGAAUGCAGCUCCCUGGG
rnacentral:rRNA from 1 species